rnacentral:rRNA from 1 species
UACAGAGGGUGCGAGCGUUAAUCGGAAUUACUGGGCGUAAAGGGCUCGUAGGUGGCCAACUAAGUCAGACGUGAAAUCCCUCGGCUUAACCGGGGAACUGCGUCUGAUACUGGAUGGCUUGAGGUUGGGAGAGGGAUGCGGAAUUCCAGGUGUAGCGGUGAAAUGCGUAGAUAUCUGGAGGAACACCGGUGGCGAAGGCGGCAUCCUGGACCAAUUCUGACACUGAGGAGCGAAAGCAAGGGGAGCAAACGGG